rnacentral:rRNA from 1 species
UACGGAGGAUGCGAGCGUUAUCCGGAUUUAUUGGGUUUAAAGGGUGCGUAGGCGGGAUGCCAAGUCAGCGGUAAAAAUGCGGUGCUCAACGCCGUCGAGCCGUUGAAACUGGCGUUCUUGAGUGGGCGAGAAGUAUGCGGAAUGCGUGGUGUAGCGGUGAAAUGUAUAGAUAUCACGCAGAACUCCGAUUGCGAAGGCAGCAUACCGGCGCCCUACUGACGCUGAGGCACGAAAGCGUGGGUAUCGAACAGG